rnacentral:rRNA from 1 species
CGACGCCGCGUGAGCGAUGAAGUAUUUCGGUAUGUAAACGCUCUAUCAGCAGGGAAGAAAAUGACGGUACCUGACUAAGAAGCACCGGCUAAAUACGUGCCAGCAGCCGCGGUAAUACGUAUGGUGCAAGCGUUAUCCGGAUUUACUAGGGUGUAAAGGGAGCGUAGACGGAGUGGCAAGUCUGAUGUGAAAACCCGGGGCUCAACCCCGGGACUGCAUUGGAAACUGUCAAUCUAGAGUACCGGAGAGGUAAGCGGAAUUCCUAGUGUAGCGGUGAAAUGCGUAGAUAUUAGGAGGAACACCAGUGGCGAAGGCGGCUUACUGGACGGUAACUGACGUUGAGGCUCGAAAGCGUGGGGAGCAAACAGGAUUAGAUACCCUGGUAGUCCACGCCGUAAACGAUGACUACUAGGUGUCGGGCAGCAAAGCUGUUCGGUGCCGCAGCAAACGCAAUAAGUAGUCCACCUGGGGAGUACGUUCGCAAGAAUG